CACGUAGGGCGCAAGCGUUGUCCGGAAUUAUUGGGCGUAAAGAGCUCGUAGGCGGACUGUCACGUCUGCUGUGAAAAGCUGGGGCUUAACCCUGGCCUUGCAGUGGAUACGGGCAGACUAGAGGUAGGUAGGGGAGAAUGGAAUUCCCGGUGUAGCGGUGAAAUGCGCAGAUAUCGGGAGGAACACCGGUGGCGAAGGCGGUUCUCUGGGCCUUACCUGACGCUCAUGCACGAAAGCGUGGGGAGCAAACAGG
rnacentral:rRNA from 1 species